ensembl:lncRNA
AAUUCCGGUUUAUUGCAACCCGGCUGGGAAAGCAAAAACCGAAGGGGCCACGGCUUGCUGCGCCGAUGUUUGUCUGUGCCGCUCUGCUGAGCGGGGCAGGGCGGCGCGCUCCGGAGCUGGCUGAGAGGAGGCGGCGGGCUGCACAGACGGAGCGGUGGCGGCGGGGCAGCGGUGGGGCGGCGGCAGCACUUAGCGGCCAGCCAGGGGAAAAGCCCUGGGCUUUCCCCGCCCGUGGAUUAAGUACUGAACAGGGAAAACCUGGGGCAGCCAAUGAGGUAACGCCACGGGGCGUCUGAGGGCAGUGGGGUGCAGGGGUACAUCCAAUGGGGGGCGGACAGGUGGAGGGUCCCAGGUCAUCUGCCUAUCCCUCAGUGUCCCGGGCAGAAGAUUCUAGGUGGGGGGGAAGGGAUCCUGAGUGACUGACAGGCGUCUGGGGUGUAAACACAGUGACUUUGCACUUCUCGGGGAAAACAAACCGCGGGGAGACAUGGGAAAACCCGGGGGGUCGUUACAGAGCGUGGGGGUACAUGGAACGAACUUAUACAUAAUACAAAUGUGGUAAAACAUAUAAUAACACAACUCCACACCUCCUUUUUCUAUUUUUUAAAAAGAAAAGAACGGAAAAUAACAUAAAUGGGAGAUUUGCAGUCCUGUUCCCCAUCGUUGAACCCAAUGUCCUCUGGGUGUCUUUCUUGGUUCUUUUCUGGAUGUUCGCGUCGAGCGGUGUCAGCUCGGAUGGGGCGGUGAAGACGGUGUGGUCAAUGUGCACGGUGGAGUUGAUGGCCUUUAAACCUUUUAACAUUACUAAAACUUAUAAUAAGAACAACAAGUGUUAACAGCAACGUAAGUCCCGUUUCUGAAGUGGAUUGGAUUCAACGUGUAAGACUUCAUCCUUCAAAGCGAUCUUAGCCAGUCACUUGCCUGAGGGAUGAAGCUUACAUCUGAAAAACAACUGGAGCAUUGAUUAGCAUUCUAGGGAGGGGAGGUCUAAAUCAAAAGGGAAGAGUGAGUCUAGGGAACUGGAUGGUGAAAGGGAAGACUCUGAGAGAGAAGGUGUUGAAUUGAAAAGGAAAGGAGGAGACUUUCUCCGUCUGCAGAGAGCUGCAUGCCUCACCUGAAGAUCCUUUUUCUUGUCAGUCUGGUGUUCGGGGAUAUAUGGCCGGACAAAUUUGGACGGGACCCAUCUCAGGCCUGAGGGCGUGGACACGCAAGCGUAUCCCUGUCCCCAGGUGACUAACUCAUGGGGCCCUUCCAGCUGCCAAGUCUCCGGAUUUUUGAUGAGCACUGGCGGUUUUUCCCUGACCUUGCUCUGCUCGUGGUUGCCAAAGUGCCUGGUGAUUGGUGGGUUGAGGUUUUCAAAAGAACAAUUUAAGAAAUUUAGUGUGAAGAGGGCUCGUGCGAGUCGAACUUGGGGGGGACUCAACUUUCAUAGUUGGUGUCGUUGUUUCAGCAUACGUUUGAGACUCUGAUGAAUCCGCUCCACCACGGCUUGACCCAUCGGGGAAUAUGCGAUGCCAGUUUUAUGCUCUAUUCCCCAUUGCUGCAGGAAGCUGGCAAACUCCUUGGUUGUGUUCCCAGGGGCAUUAUCUGUUUUUAUGAAUUUUGGGACGCCCAGCAUAGCGAAGGCCUGUAUUAAAUGCUUUUCAAUGUCUUUGGCCUUCUCCCCUCCGUGGGCAGAAGCAAAGACUGCCCCAGAGAAAGUGUCUACGGAGACAUGGACGUACUUCAUCCUCCCAAAGGAAUGGAUGUGAGUAACAUCCAUCUGCCACACUUCGCAGGACUUUAGACCCCUAGGGUUUGCCCCUGAGCUCACCGAUGGUAGGGGGAGCGACUUGCAGGACGGGCAGGUGGCCACAAUGGCUCUGGCCUGGUCACGGGUGAGGUGGAAUUGCCGGACCAGCCCGGGCGCAUUCUGGUGGUAAAAUUGGUGGCUGAUUUUAGCUUGCUGGAACUUAUCUGGGAGCGGUGCUACCUGAGCCGGGGCGGCAGCGAGAGAGUCGGCACGCCGAUUGCCCUCGGUCAAAAACCCUGGCAAGUUGGUAUGUGACCUGAUAUGCAUCACGUAAAAGGUUUGCUCUCGGUGGGAGACUAGCUUAAUCAGUUUCAAGAGCAACUUGUGCAGGGCUUUGUUGGACACACCCUGCAGGACCGUAUCCUGCGCUCUAGACACUACGCCCGCGACAUACGCCGAAUCGGUUACCAAAUUAAAAGGCUCAGAGAAUCGCUCAAAGGCUCUAACGACAGCAGCCAACUCAGCUAUUUGAGGGGAACCUUCCACCUCAACAAUAUCUGCCUCCCACUGCUGCAUCUGGGGGUCUUUUCAAGUUAUCACAGACUUGUGAGAACUUCCGCAUGCGUCUGUAAAAACUGUUAACGCUUUGAGUGGCUUUUUGCUCUGAAUUCGUUUGAUGGACAAUGCAAAUUGAAUUUCUGAUUCGAAAAUUUUGUGGGCGGGUCUCAAAACUUAAAUUUUGCCUGUGUAGCUGUCUAGAGAGAACUGAAGAGAUUCAUUUUCCUGUAACAGGUGUUCUAGCAUGGCUUUGGUGAAUUGGCCUGAUUCCAAUUUGAUGGGAAUGUGAAUGCAUUCAAAGUCACAUCCAGCUAACUCUCGGAUCCGCGCUCUUGCUUUGCGGAUCAGUUCUGCUACUAACUCCUGUGGCCUUGUCAUUCUCUUGGACUGAUGGUGACUUAGGAAGACCCAUUCUAUGAUGGAGAGUGGGUCCCUUUGGUCCUGGCCGUUGCCCUUCUUUGGGGUGUCUGUCCAUUGAAAUGUAACACCAUGGAGGGGUGGCAGUCUGCCCAAUAUGAUGAAUUUAAAGGGCAGGUCCGGAUCGUACCAGUGGGCCUGUCUGGCAGACAUUGUCUCCUGGACCUUAAUCAAAGCUGCCUGAGCCGCUGGGGUGAGUUGCCUGGGAAAACUCGGCUCCUCCCCCACUUUCAAAAAAACGAAAAGAGGGGCUAGGUCUCUGUUUGUAAUGCCUAGCCAUGGCCUCACCCAGUUCAAAGAACCGCACAGCUGCUGGACGUCUGCUAGGGUCCGAAUUUUGUUUUUGAUGGCCAAUUUUUGCGGAACAAUGGUCCGCUUGGUAAUUUCCAAACUCAGGUACUUCCAGGGUGGCAUCUUUUGAAUUUUGUCCUCUCACAGCUCAAACCCUGCAGCAAUCAAUGCAUCGAUUGUCAGGUUAAGCGCGUGUGUAAGGAGAUCGCCAUUGGGAGCACAAAUCAAGAUAUCAUCCAUAUAGUGCUGGAUGAUCACGCCCUCGGUGGCUGCAUGGACGAGGGUCAGCAAUGAAGCUACGUACCACUGGCAGAUGGUGGGUGAGCAUUUGAGGCCCUGUGGCAACACUUGCCAAUGGUAGCACUCUGUCAUGGUUUGACACUGGCACAAUGCCAGUGCCCCUCAUGAAAAUGCAAUUUCUCAACUGAAUGCUGUGAAAUGUGAUUGAGAACAGAGCAAAGCAGGCCCAAGCUUAAUAUUAAGGAAAAAAACUUUAUUAAACUACUACCACUAUGCUACUAUAAAAGAGAGGGGAAAAAAAAGAAGAAAGAAAACACACACAAUUUAAAAUGAAAACUUUCUAAAGCAUUCUUCUUCUCACUACUUAACUCUAAUAAACUACAGUGAGACACAAUCUGGACCCUAAUCAGGUUUCCACCCUCCAGAUAAUUAACACCUAAUCCAUCUGCAGGGAGAGAGGAGUCUCUUCUGUGCCACACACCCCCUAAGAAACACAGCUGCCACAUCCUGUGCUUCCAUGUCACCACAUGGCACCACCCAGAGAAAAAAAGUUUGCCAGUGGUGACCCUCUCCUUUCUAUGCACAGUGCUCUCACCACCAAUGCAUGGAUGGACAGACUGCUUUUUAGGAUUUUUCCUUUCAAGGAUGCCCUGCCAAGAGGGGAAAAAACAACAGUUCCGUUUUUCAUUUUUGGGACCAACAGUCCACCCCAUUUUCCCCUGGGGCCGAGGGUCUAAGAACAGAGAUCUUCUUCUCUUCUUCUUCUUUGAAGACAGGGGGCACUACUACAAACCUCUUUAAUUUUUCUCUGUUCGCUCUACUUCUGUUUUUUUUUAGUGGAAGCAUGGUCUCUUUGGCUCACCAGCAUCUUCUUAAAAUACAGUCUCUCUUGGAGGAGAAGAUCAGUUCAGUCUGUGGCUAACAAGAAAAAGUCCAGCCAAAAGCCACUCUAUCAUUUCCUCUCACUUAGAAUUUCUCCUUCCAACAUCCCAGGUCCCAGGUUGUCUCUCUUCCUCUCUUUUCAAACCAAGGAGGAGAAAAAUUUCACAAAGCUUUCAUUUCUCAGGAAGGGUUAAAAGUCCUGACUCCCAGAGAUGGCUUGCUGCCCAGGCUCCAGCUCCCACAGCCCAGCUGGGCACCUUGCGGCCCCCCCGCUCUUCUCCUUCCCCGCGGUGAACUGCUGAUAAAACUACUGCCGUCUCUUUUUCUCUCUUGGGAGAGAGAGACUCUGGGGGAACAGAGACAUCCCAGAUUUUCUCCACCCUUCCAUCCGCAGGGGGCCAGCCCAGUUCCAGUCCCUCCACCCCUGGACCUACCUCCGAUGGCCACAUGGCUUCUCCCAUCCCCCACCCAGCUCGUGGCCGUGGGUGGAGAAGUCUCAGGGGUGGAAUGGGUUGGCCGUAGGGCGAAAGGGAUUGUUGGGAGACAAAGCACGAGGGGUGGGGGAUGCCAUGUGGUCCCCUCCAUCUUGUGCCCUGGGGUAGGAAAGGGAAUCAUUUUGGGAAAGGUCCGGGGAAGUCGUGGAGAGGGAUCUGGGGUCUUAAAACUUACAACUUUACUACUGUGGGGCAGGGCUGUACAAAGAGAGGGGCUUUGGGGAUAGGAAGAGUGCAGGGCGAUGCCAGCACUGCCCUGCGAGGGAACCCGGGGGUUAACAAAGGGGGCAGAAUCUGCCUGCGGCGGCUGCCGGGAUGCCCAUCUGAGAAUCCCCGGGCUGGGGUGAGAGGGAGAGGAGAGGGGGUUAUGGAUUUUUAGGUUGGGGGUGCAUUCGUCCUCGU